GACGAACGCUGGCGGCGUGCCUAAUACAUGCAAGUCGAGCGAACUUGCGGGAGCUUGCUCCCAAGAGUUAGCGGCGGACGGGUGAGUAACACGUGGGCAACCUGCCUAUAAGACUGGGAUAACUUCGGGAAACCGGAGCUAAUACCGGAUAAUUCUUUUCUACUCAUGUAGGAAAGCUGAAAGAUGGUUUCGGCUAUCACUUAUAGAUGGGCCCGCGGCGCAUUAGCUAGUUGGUGAGGUAACGGCUCACCAAGGCGACGAUGCGUAGCCGACCGGAGAGGGGGAUCGGCCAAACUGGGACUGAGACACGGCCCAGACUCCUACGGGAGGCAGCAGUAGGGAAUCUUCCGCAAUGGACGAAAGUCUGACGGAGCAACGCCGCGUGAGUGAUGAAGGUUUUCGGAUCGUAAAACUCUGUUGUUAGGGAAGAACAAGUACUAGAGUAACUGCUAGUACCUUGACGGUACCUAACCAGAAAGCCACGGCUAACUACGUGCCAGCCGCCGCCGUAACAC
rnacentral:rRNA from 1 species